rnacentral:rRNA from 1 species
GAUGAACGCUGGCGGCGCGCCUAACACAUGCAAGUCGAACGAUUAAAGCACCUUCGGGUGUGUAUAAAGUGGCGAACGGCUGAGUAACACGUGGGCAACCUGCCCCUUUCAUUGGGAUAGCCACGGGAAACCGUGGAUAAUACCGAAUACUUCGAGACUUCCGCAUGGAAGACUCGAGAAAGCUCCGGCGGAGAGGGAUGGGCCCGCGGCCUGGUAGCUUGUUGGUGGGGUAACGGCCUACCAAGGCAAUGAUGGGUAGCUGGGUUGAGAGACCGACCAGCCAGAUUGGGACUGAGACACGGCCCAGACUCCUACGGGAGGCAGCAGUGGGGAAUCUUGCACAAUGGGCGAAAGCCUGAUGCAGCGACGCCGCGUGCGGGAUGAAGGCCUUCGGGUUGUAAACCGCUUUCAGCAGGGACGAGGCGAAAGUGACGGUACCUGCAGAAGAAGCCCCGGCUAACUACGUG